rnacentral:tRNA from 1 species
GCCACCAUAGCUCAAUUGGUAGAGCGCCUCACUUGUAAUGAGGUGGUUGCGGGUUCGAGUCCUGCUGGUGGCU